UUUCUGUUGAAGAAAGUGGACGAAUUGGGCGCUUUCCAACAACACUACAACACUCUCUGUGUAGAAAAAAUUCCCCAGAUUCGAGCAAAAUUGGAACGACUGGAGAAAGAUCGAAUUCAGAUGCGAUUGCAGGCAAAUCGCCAGCGGAGUGCCCACGCUGGUGUGAGAGACAAGUUGGAAGCAGAAAAUUUUGAUUUGCGAAAGGAAAAUAAGCGUCUCUACGAAUUAUUGAACCAUCAACCAAUAGAAGCAGCACAUAAUGAAUCUAACCAGUCUGAACUCGUGGAAUUUCUUGAAAUGGAAAACGAAUUUAUCAGAAAAAAUAUCGAAAAAAAGAAUAUUCUUCUAGGAAAUACUAUAUUAAAUUUAAAGCAUUUAAAAACAAAUGUGACGGAGUUCAG